rnacentral:rRNA from 1 species
GAGUGAGAGGGAAGAGCCCAAGAUUGAAAGCUGGCGUCUUCGGCGUCCGCAUUGUAAUCUCAAGAAGUGUUUUCCGCUUCGGACCAUGCCUAAGUCCCUUGGAAAAGGGCAUCAUAGAGGGUGAUAAUCCCGUACAUGGCAUGGAGCGCCCGAAGCUUUGUGAUACGCUUUCUAAGAGUCGAGUUGUUUGGGAAUGCAGCUCAAAAUGGGUGGUAAAUGCCAUCUAAGGCUAAAUAUUGGGGAGAGACCGAUAGCGAACAAGUACAGUGAUGGAAAGAUGAAAAGAACUUUGAAAAGAGAGUUAAACAGUACGUGAAAUUGCCAAAAGGGAAGGGUAGGAGGUCAGAGAUGCGGCCUAGGAUUCAGCCUUGCUUUUGCUUGGUGUUUUUCCUAGGUUGCAGGCCAACGUCGGUUUUGGGCACUGGAGAAGGGUGGAAGGAAUGUGGCACCUCUCGGGGUGUGUUAUAGCCUUCUACUGGAUACAGCGACCGAGACCGAGGACAGCAGCGUACUCGCAAGAGCGGGCCUUCGGGCACCUUUACGCUUAGGGCGUUGGCAUAAUGGCCCUCUACCACCCGUCUUGA